rnacentral:rRNA from 1 species
CGACGCAGCAACGCCGCGUGUGUGAUGAAGGUCUUCGGAUUGUAAAGCACUUUCGACCGGGACGAAAAAGCGGGUGCUAAUCAGCCUGCCUUGACGGUACCGGGAGAAGAAGCACCGGCUAACUCUGUGCCAGCAGCCGCGGUAAUACAGAGGGUGCAAGCGUUGUUCGGAAUUAUUGGGCGUAAAGCGCGUGUAGGCGGCCUGGCAAGUCGGGUGUGAAAGCCCUCAGCUCAACCGAGGAAGUGCGCCCGAAACUGCUAUGGCUUGAGUGCCGGAGAGGGUGGCGGAAUUCCCCAAGUAGAGGUGAAAUUCGUAGAUAUGGGGAGGAACACCGGUGGCGAAGGCGGCCACCUGGACGGUGACUGACGCUGAGACGCGAAAGCGUGGGGAGCAAACAGGAUUAGAUACCCUGGUAGUCCACGCCGUAAACGAUGAGAACUAGGUGUCGUGGGAGUUGACCCCCGCGGUGCCGUAGCUAACGCAUUAAGUUCUCCGCCUGGGAAGUACGGUCGCAAGACUA